rnacentral:rRNA from 1 species
GACGAACGCUGGCGGCGUGCUUUACACAUGCAAGUCGAGCGAUGAGAUCCCUUCGGGGAAGGAUUAGCGGCGAACGGGUGAGGAACACGUGAGGAAUCUGCCUUCAACACUGGGAUAACUCCGGGAAACCGGGGCUAAUACCGGAUACGAGACCUGCAGGCAUCUGCGGGUCUGGAAAGUUUUUCGGUUGAAGAUGACCUCGCGGCCUAUCAGCUUGUUGGUGAGGUAAUGGCUCACCAAGGCGACGACGGGUAGCCGGCCUGAGAGGGCGACCGGCCACACUGGGACUGAGACACGGCCCAGACUCCUACGGGAGGCAGCAGUGGGGAAUAUUGGGCAAUGGAGGGAACUCUGACCCAGCGACGCCGCGUGCGGGAUGAAGGCCUUCGGGUUGUAAACCGCUUUCAGCAAGGAAGAAGCGAAAGUGACGGUACUUGCAGAAGAAGCACCGGCUAACUAUGUG